GGAGAACUUAAAAGCAGGUCGAGGGGCAGCGGGGAGGUGGCAUACUUCCGCCGGCGACCGGCGCACGGGUGAGUCCAUUUAAGGAACCUGCCCGUAGCAGGGGGAUAAGCGGAAGAACUUCCGUCUAAUACCGCGUAAUAACUCCGAGAGGCAUCUCCUGGGGUUUAAAGGGUAACACCGGCUACGGAUGGCCCUGCGGCGCAUUACCUAGUUGGCGGGGUAACGGCCCACCAAGGCGACGAUGCGUAGGGGUUCUGAGAGGAAGGUCCCCCACACUGGUACUGAGACACGGACCAGACUCCUACGGGAGGCAGCAGUGAGGAAUAUUGGUCAAUGGGCGCGAGCCUGAACCAGCCAAGUCGCGUGAGGGAAGACGGUCCUAUGGAUUGUAAACCUCUUUUGUCGGGGAGCAAAAGACGCCACGCGUGGCGUUCCGAGAGUACCCGAAGAAAAAGCAUCGGCUAACUCCGUGCCAGCAGCCGCGGUAAUACGGAGGAUGCGAGCGUUAUCCGGAUUUAUUGGGUUUAAAGGGUGCGCAGGCGGAAGAUCAAGUCAGCGGUAAAAUUGAGAGGCUCAACCUCUUCGAGCCGUUGAAACUGGUUUUCUUGAGUGAGCGAGAAGUAUGCGGAAUGCGUGGUGUAGCGGUGAAAUGCAUAAAUAUCACGCACAACUCCGAUUGCCAAGGCAGCAUACCGGCGCUCAACUGACGCUCAUGCACGAAAGUGUGGGUAUCGAACAGGAUUAGAUACC
rnacentral:rRNA from 1 species